UACGAAGGGGGCUAGCGUUGUUCGGAAUCACUGGGCGUAAAGGGCGCGUAGGCGGCUUUAUAAGUCGGACGUGAAAUCCCCAGGCUCAGCCUGGGAACUGCGUCCGAUACUGGAUGGCUUGAAUCCGGGAGAGGGAUGCAGAAUUCCAGGUGUAGCGGUGAAAUGCGUAGAUAUCUGGAGGAAUACCGGUGGCGAAGGCGGCAUCCUGGACCGGCAUUGACGCUGAGGAGCGAAAGCCAGGGGAGCAAACGGG
rnacentral:rRNA from 1 species